AUUGAACGCUGGCGGCAGGCUUAACACAUGCAAGUCGAGCGGUAGAGAGGUGCUUGCACCUCUUGAGAGCGGCGGACGGGUGAGUAAUGCCUAGGAAUCUGCCUGGUAGUGGGGGAUAACGCUCGGAAACGGACGCUAAUACCGCAUACGUCCUACGGGAGAAAGCAGGGGACCUUCGGGCCUUGCGCUAUCAGAUGAGCCUAGGUCGGAUUAGCUAGUUGGUGAGGUAAUGGCUCACCAAGGCGACGAUCCGUAACUGGUCUGAGAGGAUGAUCAGUCACACUGGAACUGAGACACGGUCCAGACUCCUACGGGAGGCAGCAGUGGGGAAUAUUGGACAAUGGGCGAAAGCCUGAUCCAGCCAUGCCGCGUGUGUGAAGAAGGUCUUCGGAUUGUAAAGCACUUUAAGUUGGGAGGAAGGGUCGUUACCUAAUACGUGACGAUUUUGACGUUACCGACAGAAUAAGCACCGGCUAACUCUGUGCCAGCAGCCGCUGUAACAC
rnacentral:rRNA from 1 species